rnacentral:rRNA from 1 species
UAGAGUUUGAUCCUGGCUCAGGAUGAACGCUGGCGGUAUGCUUAACACAUGCAAGUCGAACGGUGUCUUCGGACACAGUGGCGGACGGGUGAGUAACGCGUGAGAAUCUGCCUUCAGGUCUGGGACAACCACUGGAAACGGUGGCUAAUACCGGAUGUGCCGAGAGGUGAAAGGUUAACUGCCUGAAGAUGAGCUCGCGUCUGAUUAGCUAGUUGGAAGUGUAAUGGACUCCCAAGGCGACGAUCAGUAGCUGGUCUGAGAGGACGAUCAGCCACACUGGGACUGAGACACGGCCCAGACUCCUACGGGAGGCAGCAGUGGGGAAUUUUCCGCAAUGGGCGAAAGCCUGACGGAGCAAUACCGCGUGAGGGAGGAAGGCUCUUGGGUCGUAAACCUCUUUUCUCAGGGAAGAAAAAAAUGACGGUACCUGAGGAAUAAGCAUCGGCUAACUCCGUGCCAGCAGCCGCGGUAAUACGGAGGAUGCAAGCGUUAUCCGGAAUGAUUGGGCGUAAAGCGUCCGCAGGUGGCAAUGUAAGUCUGCUGUUAAAGAGUGAGGCUCAACCUCAUAAGAGCAGUGGAAACUACAUAGCUAGAGUACGUUCGGGGCAGAGGGAAUUCCUGGUGUAGCGGUGAAAUGCGUAGAGAUCAGGAAGAACACCGGUGGCGAAGGCGCUCUGCUAGGCCGUAACUGACACUGAGGGACGAAAGCUAGGGGAGCGAAUGGGAUUAGAUACCCCAGUAGUCCUAGCCGUAAACGAUGGAUACUAGGCGUGGCUUGUAUCGACCCGAGCCGUGCCGUAGCUAACGCGUUAAGUAUCCCGCCUGGGGAGUACGCCGGCAACGGUGAAACUCAAAGGAAUUGACGGGGGCCCGCACAAGCGGUGGAGUAUGUGGUUUAAUUCGAUGCAACGCGAAGAACCUUACCAAGGCUUGACAUGUCGCGAAUCCUGGUGAAAGCUGGGAGUGCCUUCGGGAGCGCGAACACAGGUGGUGCAUGGCUGUCGUCAGCCCGUGUCGUGAGAUGUUGGGUUAAGUCCCGCAACGAGCGCAACCCUCGUUUUUAGUUGCCAGCAUUAAGUUGGGCACUCUAGAGAGACUGCCGGUGACAAACCGGAGGAAGGUGGGGAUGACGUCAAGUCAGCAUGCCCCUUACGCCUUGGGCUACACACGUACUACAAUGCUCCGGACAGAGGGCAGCAAGCCAGCGAUGGCAAGCAAAUCCCGUAAACCGGAGCUCAGUUCAGAUCGCAGGCUGCAACUCGCCUGCGUGAAGGAGGAAUCGCUAGUAAUUGCAGGUCAGCAUACUGCAGUGAAUUCGUUCCCGGGCCUUGUACACACCGCCCGUCACACCAUGGAAGCUGGUAGUGCCCGAAGUCAUUACUUCAACCUGCAAAGGAGAAGGAUGCCUAAGGCAGGACUGGUGACUGGGGUGAAGUCGUAACAAGGUAGCCGUACCGGAAGGUGUGGCUGGAUCACCUCCGUU